rnacentral:rRNA from 1 species
UAUAUCCUACGGGGGGCAGCAGUGGGGAAUAUUGCACAAUGGGGGAAACCCUGAUGCAGCGACGCCGCGUGAGUGAAGAAGUAUUUCGGUAUGUAAAGCUCUAUCAGCAGGGAAGAUAAUGACGGUACCUGACUAAGAAGCCCCGGCUCACUCCGUGCCAGCAGCCGCGGUAAUACGUAGGGGGCCAGCGUUAUCCGGAUUUACUGGGUGUAAAGGGAGCGUAGGUGGCCGGGCAAGUC